rnacentral:rRNA from 1 species
UACGUAGGGUCCGAGCGUUGUCCGGAGUUACUGGGCGUAAAGCGCGCGCAGGUGGUUCCCUAAGCCCGGCGUGAAAGCCCCCGGCUCAACCGGGGAGGGUCGUCGGGGACUGGUGAACUUGAGGGCGGCAGGGGCUGGUGGAAUCCCCGGUGUAGUGGUGAAAUGCGUAGAGAUCGGGGGGAACACCCGUGGCGAAGGCGGCCAGCUGGGCCGACCCUGACACUGAGGCGCGAAGGCGUGGGGAGCGAACAGG